CGACGAUGCGGACACCACCCUGUGGGUUUUGCCUGAACCGUAACCCACAGGGGCCACUGGGGAGAGACCAGAGCACAGUUCAAACCUGGCAUGAGCACAGCCUGUCCUUGUAACUCCACAACUGAGGGGAGGCAGGGACAUGGGGUUGGGAAAAGUGGGGAAGAGCUUCCGGGUUCUGGGAAAGCAGGGGCAGCCUGCGCUAUGUAGGAAGCCGCAGGCUCUAGGAAAUGGUUCUGGGGCCACGACUUCUCAGGUCUUGUGGGUGCAGUCACAGAUGGAGAAAGAGGAGGCCAUAGGAAGCCAGGACAGGCUGCAUGGGCCCUGAGGGAUGGCCCGUCCCUGGGCCAGGAUCUCCAUUCCCAGUAACUCUUGCGAGGUCCCCACAUCACCCAAGGCUCUGGCUUUGUGCAGGUUCAGAGUCUGCCUCUCAUGCGUGCUGUGACCACUGCAGACUCACAGACUGAGGAGCGGCUCAGCCCUUCAGUGAUGAGACGGUGCAACAUGUUUGUGGAUCAGAGGAGUCAGGGUCAGCAGAUUAAUUGAUCCUUAAUUGUUGUUGGGGAAGUUUUCUUUUCCUCUUCCAAGUGAAUGCUAUCAACACACUUUUCCAAGAGUCAUUUUGAAUUUUCCUAAUUUACAACUGCAAAGCCCACCUUCCUGUCCGUUGCUGAAUAUCACAAGGUCUCCUAUUAUCCUGAAUGUCUCCAGAUCGGCUUUCUGUGACUGAGGUGGAGCAAGGUGUUUUCUCCUAUACUUGAAUGUCAAGAGUUUUCAUACAGCUACCUGAAUAUCAUGAAGCAUCAUUUUUCCCAUCUGAUCAUCAGGAACUAGCAUCUCACCUACCAGAGUGUGACAAAUGCUUAUUGCAAACACCUGAAUGUUAAAACAUUUCCCAUCGCCUGCAAGUGUCAGGAGGUCACACUCUUACCUGCAUGAGGGCAGCCUUACCUCUUCUACCUGAAUGUAAGAUCUCAACCAGCCCGAGGGUCAAUAGGUUGCACAUCAUCUAAGUGGGUGUCAGAAGGUCCCAUGCCUCCAACCUGAGUGUCAGGACAUCUCAUCUCCUAUUCCUGAGUGUUGAGUUUUCAGAUUAUCAGAUGAUCUUGAUUUAUCUAUUUUCUCUAACUGAAUGUCGUACUUAUGACAUCCUCAAAUGAAUGUUCAAUAGGUCUCGUAUAUCUUACCCAGUAUCAGGGAGUGAUCACCUCCUUCUUUGAAAGAAAUAACAACUCUGUUUUUCCACUUCAGUGCCAGAGGCCCUCAUCGCCUCCACCUACAGGUUAAGAAUUCUCACCUCCACCACCCAAGUGUCACCCUGUCGCACUUUCUCUACCUGAAAAUCAAGAGGUCUUACAUCUUCCAGCUGAAUGUCAAGAGGUUGUAUUUUACCUAUAUGAAUGUUCUGAAGUCUCCACCGGUAUACCAGAGUGUUGGGAGAUCUCAUUGCCCCCAUCUGGGUGCCAGGGCAUGUCCUACCCUCUACUUGAAUAUAGUCUCAUAUCCCUGUCUAAAUGGCAUGGAGCUUUCAUCUCCUCUGCUAGAGUAUCAUGAGAUCUCCUCUAUUCUGGGUGUCCAAAGUUCUCAUCUCAACCCCCUGAGGUCUGGAGGUAUUCUCACCUCUUCCUGGUUGUCUGGAGGUCUCAUCUCCCUUACCUGAGAGUCAUGAAACCUCCUAUCUCCUAUAUGCCCUAUCUAAGUCAUGACACUUUAUCUCCUCCGAGUGUCAGGGGAUUUUUCUACCUUUAUGUCAGGUAGCCCCACUUCCUCUAGCUGAAGGGCAUACAAGUUCUAUUUCGUGACUUGAAUGUGAAUAGGUUUCAGCUGCACUACUGAGUGUUAGCGGACCUCACUUAUUUUAACUGAGCAUCAAGUUGUGUCUCAUAAAUAACCAGAAAAAGACUUUGGAAAUAUGGUUCAAGAAAUGGCAAGAAGAAUUGAAGAAGUGGGCCCAAGUGCAGAGGCUCAUGCCUGUAAUCCCAGCACUUUGAGAGGGUGAGGCAGGCAGAUCACUUGAGCUCAGGAGCCCCAGACCAGCCUGGGCAACACGGCAAAACCCCGUCUGUACAAAAAAUACAAAAAUUAGCCAGGUGCAGUGGCACCUGCAUCCCAGCUACUCAGAAAGCUGAGGCAGGAGAAUCAUUUGAACCCAGAAGGCAGAAGUUGCAGUGAGCCGAGAUCGCACCAUUGCACUCAAGCUUGGGCAAUGGGAGUGAAACCCUGUCUCAAAAAAAAAAAAGAAGAAGAUUAAAGUUUUGACUGUUAAAGAAAAUAUUAUUCGGGUGUUUUUAAUGGAUAGCACCUAUUUCUUUACAAAUAUUUAGGAGGUAUCAAUAAAAAAGUCUGAAGACCCAAUGUCAGUGUCUGGAUUCUAGAAGACCAUUACAGUUUGACUCCGCAAAGCUUACCCACUUCUGAUUCUAGAAGGGGCUGCCAGUCAUCGUGCCUGCCCGUGGCUAUAGUGAUGGUUGCGGGAAAAGUACCUGGCCCGGCCCAUUUAAUUUUGUCAUUAAACUAAUGGAAGCAACAAACAUCUCAACUCAGAGUGACUUUGUCUGACCUUCUUCAUGCUGUUCUAAGAGCGAAGGAGAAAUGGGUGACAGGUCUGGGGCCAGAGGGUGGGGUCCCAUCCGAGGGCAUGGCUCAGGCUGAGGCAGAGUGCUCAGCACAGGGGGCAGGAUGGGGGCUCCCCAUCUCCCCUCAAACUCCUCCCUGCUCUCUGCUUCCACCCUGACCCCCAGGCACCCCUCCAGCUCAUCCCAGCCAUUCUCGCUGCUCCUGCUCACCCCAACCACCCGCUGCCUUCGCCAGCCGUGCCCACUUCUGUCCCCAUGCCUUAUUUACCUGGGCAAUCCAACUCCCACCCCAGUUUUUCUCACCC
rnacentral:lncRNA from 1 species